GGAAACAUCAAUGUGAAAGUUUAGUCAUGAAUUAUUACGUUGUGUUGUGUGCAAUGUUUCUGACUGUAAUAGCAGAGGAACCGCACUGUUCAAAAUAUGAUUUUGAAGAAAAGAUCUUGGAGAAAUUAGUUCGAAUGGAAUACCAGAUGGAAAGAAUGAAAAUUGAAGGACUUGAAAGAGCUGAAAGCAUGGCAAAAACUAAAACUGAGGUGGCCACUGCUCUAGACACCCUAGUCCACCGCGUUUGAGCAGAAAAUAAUAGACACUGUUGGAAAAAUGCUGAAAAGAGUGGAACAAAUUGCAGAAUCAUUUCUUUUUCAAUACCGACGGUAGCAUUUAAGGCACGCCUUAAUUCUCACACGAGUGUUACUAACGGAGUUUACAUUAUUUUCCCUACAGUACUAUUAAACUUGGGAGACGCAUAUGGCACUGGCAGUGGUAUAUUCGUUGCACCUGUUAAUGGAACAUACAUGUUUAAUGUUAUCUUUUGUGUGUUCAAAGACCAAACCUUGUAUAUUGAUAUCAUGGUGGACGACACGAAAACGUCACCUAUAGUAUUUCGUGGUGUAUCUUACGAAGACUGCCACUCAGCUGUUACUGUGGAAGUACUGACUGUUGGUCAGAGGGUUGGGAUUAAAGCGACAGGUACCACAUCGAGUGUUAUUAAGCACAAUGAGUACAGAUGGAACACAUUUACUGGAACACUGCUUCACAUUAAUUAGCAUCCUGAGAAGAGUAUCUCUCAGGCAGUGAACAUUGAUGCACUGUAUAUUGUUUCAUGUAUAUUAACAGGUACAAGCAAUUAUCACCACAAUGUCACUCAUCUUGUUUACGUAUUGUUAUAUAAAUGUAGCAUAAAAUAGAAAAAAGGAGAACCCCCCCCCCCCACACACACAAUAAACAACAACAACAACAACAACAAAAAACAGAAAUGAAAAUGUUGUUGUUUCGGUUUGGUUCAUGGACGUUAUUGGCAAUGAAUGCUAACUGCCAUGACUAAUAGCUUCGGGAUGAGCAUAAAUCAACAUAUGCACAUGUUACAAAUACCAAAAUACAAUUUAGUGAACUCCGCAGAUGUGUUCAUACAACGGUGUUCAUUUGACCUUUAAUAUGAUACAAUAGAGUGCUAUUCCAUGAAAAGCGGCGCAUGGUCCCCAGUUAAUACAACAGAUGAGCCCUAAACGUCUUUUAUAAAGCUCUUUCUCAUCUCAAUACCACAAUUGAUUUUAUAAUAACUAAUUAAAGAAAGAGAGUACUAACCAAGCUAUCCGACUAGACAGGGGAUAUCGCAUGUUAUGAAUCUUUUGUCUUUUGAUGAUUUGCUUUAGAGGCAUAGAACAAGAAUAGCAGAAUUGGUUUGACUGAAUGUGUUCAAAAGAGGUAAUGAAAUGUGCAGUUAUCGUCACACCUCUAGUACCGACUUAACCGACAUUCUAUGAUUAAUUACACAUAUCAGGUUAAUAAACUUUGAUUCUAGAGGACCAGAAAUAAUAACAAAACUAUCUGUGUACAUGUAUUUUGUAGAUGGCAACCAUGACAUGUCUAGAGCAUCUUCAUUUUGUAAAUAACGAAAGUUAGAUUUGACUGAAACUAAAACUGCUACUUUCAGGCUUCUUGUACAUAAUAUCCAGCACCAUAGUGGAAAUAAAAUUAAAUACUUA